CUCAGGAGUUUAGCGCCGCGGGAACCCGCUCCCGGGUCCCGAUAACGGGCCGUCCCCGCAGCUCCCGGCCGGGCGAGAGGGUCUUCCUCGAUCGAGAAUGGCUACCUCUCGAUAUGAGCCAGUGGCUGAAAUUGGUGUCGGUGCCUAUGGGACGGUGUACAAGGCCCGCAAUCCCCACAGUGGGCACUUCAUGGCCCUCAAGAGUGUGCGAGUCUCCAAUGGAGAAGGAGCUGGAGGGGGCCCUCCGCGUCAGCACAGUUCGGGAGGUGGCUUUGCUGAGGCGCCUGGAGGCCUUUGAGCAUCCCAACGUUGUCCGGCUGAUGGAUGUCUGUGUCACCUCCCGAACCGACCGGGAGAUCAAGGUAACCCUGGUGUUUGAGCAUAUAGACCAAGACCUAAGGACAUACCUGGAUAAGGCACCCCUGCCAGGCUUGCCAGUGGAGACCAUCAAGGAUCUGAUGCGCCAGUUUCUAAGAGGCCUGGAUUUCCUUCAUGCCAAUUGCAUCGUUCAUCGAGAUCUGAAGCCAGAGAACAUUCUGGUGACAAGCGAAGGGACAGUCAAGCUGGCUGACUUUGGCCUGGCCAGAAUCUACAGCUACCAGCUGGCGCUUACACCUGUGGUUGUCGCACUCUGGUAUCGAGCUCCCGAAGUGCUUCUGCAGUCAACAUAGGCAACACCCGUCGACAUGUGGAGUGUUGGCUAUAUCUUUGCAAAGAUGUUUCAUCGAAAACCUCUCUUCUGUGGAAACUCUGAAGCCGACCAGUUGGGCAAAAUCUUUGACCUGAUUGGGACCCCUCCAGAGGAUGACUGGCCCUGAGAUGUGUCUCUGUGGCAGGGAGCCUUCUCUCCUGGGGGCCCCGCCUGGUGUAGUUGGUGGUGCCUGAGGUGGAGGAGUCUGGAGCACAGCUUCUGCUGGAGAUGCUGACUUUUAACCCACACAAGCAAAUCUCUGCCUUCCAAGCACUAUAGCACUCCUGUCUGCAUAAGGAUGAAGGUAAUCUGGAGUGA